rnacentral:lncRNA from 10 species
GUUUAGGCCGGAAAUGGUCUAGUUCUCAGAGGUGGUCCGAUCCCUAACCAGUCCCAGGCCCAGCCCCAGCCCAGCACCACCUGGAAGGUUCAAGUACAUGGAGGAGAGGAGGCUUGGCGUAGACCGCGCACUGGAAGGCGUGCGCGCAGGUGUGCGUGACCAUGUGCUUGAAACGGCAGUAGCGCAGCGAGAAGGAUCGCCAUCACACGGCGCACUGGUGCGGCUUCUCCCCCGAGUGGAUGAACAUGUGCUUGGUGUCGUUUUUCCUUGAGCUGAACGUCUUGCAACAGUGGCCGCACGCAUAGGCACCACCGAAGGCACACGGAUCUCAGAGGGGCCGAGCAGCAGCUUGUCUUGGAAGGAGGGCGAGCCGAUUGCCAGCCCGCAGCGGUGCGCACGCAGCGAAGCUUCAUGAAUGCACACAGUCACGUCGCAGAAGUGCCCACCCAGCUUCUGCCCAUUGAGGGUCUCAAGCAGAGAGCGUGAGAAGUUCUGCAGAUGUAUGUGGCGCACAGCCUCUACAGCCGCCGACUCCGACUCCUCUUCAGGCACCAGGCCUGGCCGUGGCCGCCUUCUCACCGACUCCAAGGCAGCACUUCCGGGCGCUUCUCUUUAUUUUUAUACAGUUUUAUUGAGAUAUAAUUUACAUGCUAUCCAGCCCAUCUAUUUCAAGUGUACCAUGCAAGGGGUUUGUAUAUAUUCACAGAGUUGUGUAUCCAUCACCAUCGUUUUAGAACAUUCAUCACUCCAGAAGAAACUACGUACCCAUCAGCAGCCACUGCCCAUUUCCCUGAUCUGCCCCGCCCUAGGAAAUCCGUAAUCACUUUCAGUCUAUGGAUUUGCCUAUUCUAGACCAUUCAUAUAAAUGAAGUCACACAACACUGGGUCUUAUGUGACUGGCUUCUAUCAAAGUUUGCAAGGUUCAUUUAUGUUCAUGCCAACCAGCCAAGUAACAAAACAAAUAAGCAAACAGCCAACCAAUCAACCAACAAGCAAGCAAGCAACAAACCAACCAAACAAGCAAGCAAGCAAGCAAGCAAGCAACCAACCAACCAAGUAACCGAUCAAACCAACCCUUGGAGCCCUUUCUAAAACUUUGACCUACAACCCUGAAUCCAGAAUCUCUGUUUAGUGGGCCAACAUUAAUAAAUUUAGCCUACUCCAACUUUGUGUUACUUCCACCAUGGUGCCACACACUUAAUAUCCAUUCCCACAUAUAUUCUCCAGAUUUCUUUCUGUAUAAAUUGUGUGUGUGUGUGUGUGUGUGUGUGUGUGUGUAGAAAGAGAGCAUCAACUGAAAAAUCACACAAUUUUAUAAAUUUAGAAAAGAGAGCUUUAUUUCUUAUAAAGGUUUGCAGCCUGCAAGGUGGCCAUUAUGACAGGCUGGGAAGUGUGGCCUACAGCCAAGGCUAGAGGCAGGCCCUUCCAGGGAGGGAAGGAGAGGACAGGAAUUUGAGCUGAAUGAGUUGACUACAUAUACAUACUCAAUAGGAUAUCAGAGGAGCUAUAUCAUUUUAUGAGAAUACUCAUAAAAGAGGUCCUAACACAUGCAUAUUGAAUAAACAUGCAUGUUCAUUCUGGGGUGGAGACUUGACAUUUAAAUGUGUUAUAAUUAGGCCCUACACAUCAAAAAGUGAAGCAGGGAAUGAAGGUACUCAGCCUCUGUAAAGGCACAGCCUCUAAAACUGGCCAGAACCAGUCCAUGGAGGAUGGUCUCUUAUCAGGAGAAAGUUACUGAAAUCAGUCCCUUGUCCAGUGAAAGCUGUCGUUAAGGUCGGUGGGGCAGGAGAUCAGUUACUCAGUGUCUGUGAACUGGGUGAGUUGUAAUUGUUUUAAUCUUGCUUCUCUCAUAGCCAGUGCUUGCUUGGCUGCUAGAGAAAAAUAAAAACUAUGUGGUAGUUAGAAUCUAGUUUAUUCUUUAAGAGUAGGGUACAAGACUUAACCCUUGCCUGGCAUGGCCCUAGGUCCUGUUUAUAAUUUGGGGUCUUAUUGCCACAAAGAGUCUGUUCUGUCAGUCUCAUGAUCUCUAUUUUAACGUUAAUGCUGUUCAGUUGUUGGGUCUAAACCAUAAGAGGGAGAGAGGUACAGGGAGUUAUGUCUGACCUCCUGUCCUGUCAUGGCCAAGAACUGAAUUUUAAGAUUUAUUUGAGGUUCCGUUGGCCAACAGGGGGUCUGUUAAGUCGGGUGGGGGGCUUAGGGUUUCAUUUUUAGUUCUCAAGGGAGAUAAAAUAAUUUAAUCAAUUGGCCCCUGUGACUAUUGGACUAACAUGGCUAUGAUCUGUCAGACAGACUUCAGGCUGGCACCCAGGCAAAAUUCUAUACUGUAGUAAAUGCAUCAUGCACAUUUGUAACAACAUGUACAUAACAAUGUCACAAAAUACUUUCACGGUGACACCUAGAUUAGUGUUUUAUUGAAUAGCUGAUGAUAUAAACUGGCUCAUUUGAUGCCAAGACUGACCAUCACCACCAUACCAAG